ACCAGACUCCUACGGGAGGCAGCAGUCGGGAAUAUUGCACAAUGGAGGAAACUCUGAUGCAGUGACACCGCGUAUAGGAAGAAGGUUUUCGGAUUGUAAACUAUUUUAGACAGGGAAGAAAAAAGACAGUACCUGUAGAAUAAGCUCCGGCUAACUACGUGCCAGCAGCCGCGGUAAUACGUAGGUGGCAAGCGUUGUCCGGAUUUACUGGGUGUAAAGGGCGUGUAGCCGGGCCGGCAAGUCAGAUGUGAAAUCCCAAGGCUCAACCUUGGAACUGCAUUUGAAACUGUUGGUCUUGAGUAUCGGAGAGGCAGGCGGAAUUCCUAGUGUAGCGGUGAAAUGCGUAGAUAUUAGGAGGAACACCAGUGGCGAAGGCGGCCUGCUGGACGGCAACUGACGGUGAGGCGCGAAAGCGUGGGGAGCAAACAGGAUUAGAUACCCCGGUACCC
rnacentral:rRNA from 1 species